CAGAGUUGCAAAACUCCCAAACCAUCGUGAACGCUACCAAUAUCGUUGCUUCGGCGGGCGGCGCGCCCGCGCCCUCAGCCCCCUCCGGGGGGCCCGCCGGAGACCCAACAAACUCUUGAAUUUUCGUGGCCUCUCUGAGUCUUCUGUACUGAAUAAGUCA
rnacentral:misc_RNA from 1 species